ensembl:misc_RNA Metazoa_SRP Metazoan signal recognition particle RNA
GCCUGUAGUCUCAGCUACUCGGGAGGCUGAGGCCGGAGGAUCGCUUGAGUCCAGGAGUUCUGGGCUGUCAUGCGCUAUGCCAAUCGGGUGUUGCACUAAGUUUGGCAUCAAUAUGGUGACCUCCCAGGAGCGGGGGACCACCAGCUUGCCUAAGGAGUGGUGAACCGGCCCAGGUCGGAAAUGGAGCAGGUCAAAACUCCCGUGCUGAUCAAUGUAAUAGUUUUGUAAUAAUAAUUACAAAAUAAUAAUAAUAAUGUAAUAAAAAUGUUCAU